AUUGAACGCUGGCGGCAGGCUUACCACAUGCCAGUCGAGCGAGCGGCGGACGGGUGAGUAAUGUCUGGGACACUGCCUGAUGUAGGGGGAUCACUACUGGCAACGGUAGCUAAUACCGCAUACCAUCAGAUGUGCCCAGAUGGGAUUAGCUCGUAGGUGGGGUACUGGCUCACCGAGGCGACGAUCCCUAGCUGGUCUGAUAGGAUGACCAGCCACACUGGAACGGAGACACGGUCCAGACGCCGACGGGAGGCAGCAGUGGGGAAUAGUGAACAAUGGGCGAAAGCCUGAUGCAGCCAUGCCGCGUGUAUGAAGAAGGCCUUCGGGUUGUAAAGUACUUUCAGCGGGGAGGCGUUACCCGCAGAAGAAGCACCGGCUAACUCCGUGCCAGCCGCCGCGGUAAUAC
rnacentral:rRNA from 1 species